CCCUUAGAUGUCCUGGGCUGCACGCGCGCUACACUGAUGUGUCCAGUAAGCACCUAACCUCUUCCGAAAGGAACGGGUAACCUUUGCAAAGCACAUCGUGAUGGGGAUAGAUUAUUGCAAUUAUUAGUCUUGAACGAGGAAUUCCUAGUAAGCACAAGUCAUCAGCUUGUGUUGAUUACGUCCCUGCCCUUUGUACACACCGCCCGUCGCACCUACCGAUUGGAUGGUCCGGUGAAGCCUCGGGAUUGUGGUUCUUGCCGCUUUAUUGUGGCGUGACCGCGAGAACUUGUCUAAACCUUAUCAUCUAGAGGAAGGUGAAGUCGUAACA
rnacentral:rRNA from 1 species